UGCCAGCAGCCGCGGUAAUACGGAGGAUGCAAGCGUUAUCCGGAUUUAUUGGGUUUAAAGGGUACGUAGGCGGGAGCUUAAGUCAGUGGUGAAAUCCUGCAGCUUAACUGUAGAACUGUCAUUGAUACUGGGCUUCUUGAAUGUAGUUGAGGUAGGCGGAAUGUGUAAUGUAGCGGUGAAAUGCUUAGAUAUUACACAGAACACCGAUUGCGAAGGCAGCUUACUAAACUACGAUUGACGCUGAGGUACGAAAGCGUGGGGAGCGAACAGGAUUAGAUACCCUGGUAGUCCACGCUGUAAACGAUGAUCACUCGUUGUUGGCAAUACACCGUCAGCGACUGAGCGAAAGCAUUAAGUGAUCCACCUGGGGGGUACGACCGCAAGGUUGAAACUCAGAGGAAUUGACGGGGGCCCGCACAAGCGGAGGAGCAUGUGGUUUAAUUCGAUGAUACGCGAGGAACCUUACCUGGGCUUAAAUGUAGAACGACGGACCGGGAAACUGGUCUUUCUUCGGACGGUCUGCAAGGUGCUGCAUGGCUGUCGUCAGCUCGUGCCGUGAGGUGUCGGGUUAAGUCCCAUAACGAGCGCAACCCUCAUCAUUAGUUGCCAGCGGGUAAUGCCGGGGACUCUAAUGAAACUGCCGGUGUAAACCGAGAGGAAGGUGGGGAUGACGUCAAGUCAGCACGGCCCUUAUGUCCAGGGCUACACACGUGUUACAAUGGUCGGUACAAAGGGCAGCUACCUGGCGACAGGAUGCUAAUCUCGAAAACCGAUCUCAGUUCGGAUCGAAGUCUGCAACUCGACUUCG
rnacentral:rRNA from 1 species